GUGAUUUAGCACGUAGAAACCAAGUUGCCAAAUCAUUCAACUCAGACUUGGAAGUGCCUGUACAUUUCCGAAAUGGCGUGCCUCGUGUGUCUCGCUGCCUGUUCUUAGACGUACGUCUCAUCCCAUGCAACAGCAAAAAGUAUAACAUACAAACACUUCUUUAACGCUGGUGGUGAUUACCUUGUUGCAGCCAAAUGGUGAAAGGUGUGACGAAGACAGAUUGAACCAUUGUAUGGAGCAUGCGGUUGCAGUUUAAUCCAGAAGUUGCUGUGCUGUUGUAGCUGAGCUGUUCCAUCUCCUGACUUCAAAAUUUUUGUGUUGUCGUUUAUGCCAUAUGAAUUGCUUUUUGUGUUGCUGAGUUAAAAGUUUGAUCUGUUGUCUUUUGAGUUUUCAUUCAAUUAUGCAGUAUACGAUUGAG